UCGCAUCCGCCAAACGGUCAAGCCGUGACGCGGGAGGUUAAUCAACCAUCAGCUUUAACCAGCCAAAGUUUCCUCAAGGGAAAUGAAAGUCAGCG
rfam:Burkholderiales bacterium RIFOXYD12_FTLL_59_19 rifoxyd3_full_scaffold_263, whole genome shotgun sequence.